AAAUAAGAUUUGCCGUGAGAAGUCAGCAGAUACCAUAUUAGUAACGCAGUCGACGGCGUUAUGAAGGGU
rnacentral:ncRNA from 1 species